rnacentral:rRNA from 1 species
CUCAGGCAACAAACACAAACAGGAACACAAGAGAAAAGAAGAGCCAAAGAAACUAAACUCAAAUGGCAUCCUCCUCUUCUAUCCUUCUCUUUGCUGCUCUUAUUGCACUGGUCUCAUGGCAGGCCACUGCCUCUGAUCCUAGCCCACUCCAGGACUUUUGCGUCGCCGACCUGCAUUCACCAGUGCGUGUCAAUGGGUUUGUUUGCAAGAACCCGAUGGAAGUUAACGCAGACGACUUCUUCAAGGCAGCCAACCUCGACAAGCCUAGGGUGACCAACAAGGUUGGAUCAACGUCAUGCAGAUUGCUGGACUCAACACCCUCGGCAUCUCAAUUGCGCGCAUCGACUAUGCUCCCUUAGGUCAGAACCCACCACAUAUGCACCCUCGCGCCACUGAGAUCCUCAUGGUGCUCGAGGGGACACUAUAUGUUGGCUUUGUCACAUCCAACCAGCCCGCCCCCAACAGAAACAAGUUCCUUUCCAAGAUGCUCAACAAAGGUGAUGUGUUUGUCUUCCCCGUGGGGCUCAUCCACUUCCAAUUCAACCCCAACCCCCACCAGCCCGCUGUUGCAAUUGCCGCGCUUAGCAGCCAGAACCCAGGGGCUAUCACAAUUGCCAAUGCAGUGUUUGGGUCGGACCCACCAAUAUCAGAUGAUGUUCUUGCCAAGGCAUUUCAGGUGGAAAAGAAUACAAUAGACUAUCUCCAGGCUCAAUUUUGGGAGAACAACCACAACUAAGUCAGACGUUUGUUGAUUACACGGAAGAUUAGUGCAUAAAUCAAGGAUUUGGUUGAAUUUCUCGAGCAUCCUUAUAUCUAUAAAAUAAAUGGAGAAUAUGUCAUGCCGCUGUGUGUCUGUAAGCCAUGAAUGUAUUUCAAUGUUAUGAAUAAUCAAC